rnacentral:rRNA from 1 species
CCUACGGGUGGCAGCAGUAGGGAAUAUUGGUCAAUGGGUGCAAGCCUGAACCAGCCAUGCCGCGUGCAGGAAGACGGCCUUCUGGGUUGUAAACUGCUUUUGUCAGGGGAUAAAAUUUCCUUGCGAGGAACAUUGAAGGUACCUGGCGAAUAAGCCACGGCUAACUACGUGCCAGCAGCCGCGGUAAUACGUAGGUGGCAAGCGUUGUCCGGAUUUAUUGGGUUUAAAGGGUGCGUAGGCGGUUAUAUAAGUCAGUGCUGAAAUAUCCCGGCUUAACCGGGAGGGUGGCAUUGAUACUGUAUGACUUGAGUGAAAUCGAGGUAGGCGGAAUUGACGGUGUAGCGGUGAAAUGCUUAGAUAUCGUCAAGAACACCAAUAGUGAAGACAGCUUACUAGACUUCAACUGACGCUGAGGCACGAAAGUGUGGGGAUCAAACAGG